UGUUUGCUGUUGUAUAUUUCAAUAUGGUUUGACUUGUGGUCCCUUCUACUAAUAAUGAGGGCGUGAUCACGAAAAACAAUGCUGCCAACCGAAAAUACAAGAAAAAGUAACACACCUAUAAUAUCAUCAUUUAUUAUUAUUAUUAGUGAACCUGAUGACAAAGAAUCUGGAUGGAAAAAUAAACAACAAUUAAUAAAUAAUGUUCCUUUAAAAGAUGAAAUAAUCAACAAAAGAUUUAUCGAAACACCAUUUACCACUGGUAAUCAACAACAACAUCAAUCAUGGUUUUCUCAAUUGCCAAAGUUUAAAUUAUCAUCAAAAAAAAUGAAAAAGAAGACUAGUCGGUCAUCGACUAUGGAUGAAGAUCUAUUAUUAAUCUGUGAAAUUACAGCAACAAUGUGCGAUGCAAAUACAUAUGUGGUGGAUACAAUUAGAUUAAUUAUUUGCAGACCCGAUCACAACCAACCACGUGGAAGGAUUCCACAAUAGAUUGAAUCGUCUAAUUCAUUUCAAUUGUCCUUGACUGAAUUUCAGAACAAUCGCUGAUAUGGCGUUAAAUGUUCUUCUGCCAUUCAACACCACAUGUUUAUGUGAAGUUACUUUCUCAGCUUUAACACAUAUUAAAUCCCAAUAUAUCGUUGAUCGCUAAAAAAGUGGUCUUACGUCCAGCAGUGUCAAACAUUCUCCACCCAUCUCAUUGAAUAUUUACCUUUAAUUUUAAUUUAAUACUUUUUGUUCAAUUUUUAAUUUAUGUUUUUAAUCGAAUUCUAAAACUUUAUACAUAUGGAAUAAAUAAAUUACGAUGAUCUCGACAUCAUCGUCAUAAUCGUAACGAUAAUAAUUUGUUUGCAGCCAUGAUUGGAAAUCGAACACUAUUGAAAAUUACAAUCAAUUAGAUACCAAUGAUUAAUUAGGCUAUAUAACAUUCAUUAAAUCAAAGUCGAACAUUCCAUUUGAAAUAUUCAAAUUUUGACCAUUAACAUUCCAAAACAAUCAUGUUUUGGAUUUCAAAUGUUUCGGUUUUUUUUGGUGUUUUUUUUGCGUUUAUUAGAUAUACAAAUGAAUUUUGAUGCUUAAUAAAAUUUUUCACUCGUAAAAUUAUUGGAACAUAUUUUCUUGAUCAAGAUGAAAUUUCUCCCAAUUUUUCAAAGAUGAAUUGGCGUCAAGAGUAUAAAUAAUUUAAAAAUACUCGAUUCACUGGACCCACAAGCAUCAAGUACAACUAAUGAAAUUAUAGUGUUCAAUCAAAAUAUUUCUGAAUCACCAAUUGUGCAAAAGUCGUGCUCAAUCAAUAAAGUUCAUGGUAAAUUUUCUUCAUGUGUGAUUGUUUAACUUCCUCAUCAUCGUAUAGAUGUCACUACCGGUUUAUUUGCGAUGUAAAAAAUUUGACACACCCCUUAUCAGAUCAAAUGAAUCUUUAUGUUGAUUUUUGGUGUUUUUUCAAAUGAAAUUUUUACAAAUGAAAUUUUUACUGCUGAAAUAAUUUAUACAUAAUAUGAUUCAACGGUUUAUGAGUACUAGCGUUAAAUUCUUCAAAAAUGAGUGUUUUUCCAUUGAUUUUAGCGAAAAAUAAAUCAUCAUUCAAUUUUCAUUUUUAUUAGGUGUGUCAAAAAAACACGUUGUUUAUACACUAAAUGUUGUGCGAUCCUUGUCAAACAAGAUAAAACCCAAUACAAAACUGUAAGGAACCGGAAGUCUUUGUUUCCGUAAAUAAAAUGAAACUGCUUAUCUCCUUAUCGCUUCUCGGCCUAAAAAAUUUGGCUAAGAUCAAAAGUGUAGUAUCUGUUCUUAUCAGCUUAAUAUCUGAUACGACCAUUAUUAAUGGUCAAGAUAUUGAACCAAUUUUUGCAGGUGGGCGAAGAGUCUGAGCUGUGCUCAAACUUUGCCACGGGUUGGCCUGGAAUUGCACUCACCUCCAGGAUCGGCCCAAU